AAUAUUUAAAAAUGUUGCAACAGUUUAUCUUUCUACUAAUAUAACUAAAAGCUAAAGAAUUGAAAGAUGAAGAUAAUUAUGAGGUCUCAGAAACAAAGUGACCCAAAUAACGAAGAAAUAAUAUGACUCAAUAAUAACAAGCCUGUAUCCUUUGCGAACCAAGCACUAGGCGAAUAGCAUGGGCUUCCCACCCCCCACAUUACGUCCCAACAGCUGGUCUCAAGGCAUACCACACCACUGAGGAUCAGCCCAUCUUCGUCCCACGGAACACAGCCAAGCUCCACAAUCCCAUGUGACAUCAACAUUAAGCUAUAAAUGGAAGUCUUGUAGGGACUAAGGGAGUUAGGCAAGGGGAUACAAAUUGCCUCUAGUUGCAAGAAACUUGAGGGAUACGGAUUGCAAUUCUUUACUAAAAAAGAUUCCACAAAGAAUUCGCAAUUGGACACUAGAAACCUUUUAUUUGCUGAAAGGAUACAAUUAUUACAAUCAACCUUCAAAAUUUUUGUUGUAGAGUAUCAUUGCUUCCCUCUAAAGUCAUUAAUUAUUUUCUUUGGAAAGGGAUGGAAGGGUCAGCCAAAGGAGCAAAAGUGAGUUGGAAAGGAAUUUGUCACCCUAAAUCUAAGAGGAACUUGUUAUUAAAGAUCUAGUCACAUAGAAUAAAGCCUGUAAAUUGCAAAAUUGGGGGAUUUAUGUGGGUGCAAUCUGGAUCUAUUUGGGUAGCUUGGACAAAUUUUUAUGUUAUUAAAAGGUAAGAAUAAUUUCUAGGAUCAAGUUACAUCAAGUAGGAGUGUUCAGUCGGUUAACCGACCCGAAAUAACAUUAACCGAAUUAACCGACCUUUCAAAAUUUUUAACCGUUAACUGAACUGAAAUUUUUUCAAAAAAAUUAACCAAAUCGAAAUCGAAAAUUAUAUGUUUUUUUAUUUUUGGUUAAAAAUAAAUGAAUUACCCGAAUUAACCGAAUUAAAUAAAGAUGCAACAAAACAACCAAAGAAGAAAAGGUAAAGAACUCAGUAUCAUUUAAUUUAAUUAAAUAAAUAGCAUAUGCAAUUGUUGCAUUUUUAGCAAGUUUAAACAUCUUUAAACAGGGAAAUUAAAUGUUGAAAGUCCAACAUUUGGACAGAGGCCAAAGUUGGCAUUUAACCUCUCAUAAUUCCCUAUUAUUUCAAUCAGUAGCAGUCCAUAUCCUCAACAAACUUCAGUAUAUUCAGUUCAGCAAUUUCAUACUUAAAAUUUCAAACUUUACAUAGAUAUUAAAUGAAUACAUUUCAGUCUAAUAUUAAAGCUCCAAAUGAUAAAAGAAAGCAAAAUUGCAGAACAAGGUAUUAAAUGAAUACAUUUCAGUCUAAAAUUCCACAACUUAAUAGUAAAGCAUCUUCCUCCAUGUCUCUUGCUUUAAACUAUAGGACAAAACUAUAAGCAUUUUCAAAAAUCAUAUGGGAGUAGUGAAGGCCUCCUUGCGCAGUUGCGCCUAAGACUUAAACUCAUGUGGAGUUUGAAUCUUUUGGACCUUUAAAAAUCCAACAUCAACUUUGACUAGAAAUGAACUUGGGCUUGACCACUAAUCACACUUAGUUUCGACCUUAAUGAACUUAGCCUGAUCUUAAACAACAAUUAAUCUAAAUAGGAGUGAUGCUCAAACACAUUCAUAUGGUUAGCUUUCCAACUAGUUGGCAUAUAUGUUUUAUGCAGGAUUCUGUGUUUGGUAUUUUGUUCCUUUUGUCUGAUAUAUAAAUCCGCAUAUCAUUUCGAUUUUAUUAGGCAGCUAAAUUGCCAGUAAAUUAACUUAGAUUCACCAUAUUUUGUAACCGAAACUUCGGAUGUGGUCUGUACUCGACCACCGAUUCACGAAUUCGGCCUUAAAGACUAACUUAUAAAGCCAAGAAUCUAAUAUAAGCAAUGAUGUAAAUGUAAUGAAGCAAAUUGAUAUCUUGGUUUCAUCUAAACCCUUUUAAUUGUCCAAAGAAACAGAUGGUAAGAUUAAGUAACCAAAAGCUGCAGGGAAUCAAAUGAACCUGCAUGAAAGAAGGCCCCUCUUGAGCAGCUCUAAUGAAUGAGGCCUAUUGAAUCUCUCACAGUUUAAAUUCAAGAAAGAAAAUUAUGAUAGCAUGAAAAUGCUCAAUUUGAAACACUAAAACAACAGCUUGAUACAUUUAAAUUAUAGUUUAAUUUGUCAUGCUGGUUUGCAGAACAACUUUGCAAAUUUUUACAGUGAAAGACCCUACAUAGCUUGAUACAAAUUCAACUCAUUUUCUCCAACUGAAGCUAAAGAAACAUAUGGGUAUGUUAUGUUCAAACCGAUAUUGUUCAUGCUUCUCUAACCAAACUCUGCAAGAAAUCAGCUUAUAAAUUCAACCACAUUUAGUAUAAAUUUGUCUUAGUAUUAAUGAACCCAGUUUGCAUCUAAUGCGAGGGCAGCCAUUGGAUAACAAAAGCACCACAAUACUAAAUCCUCAACAGUAUCCCACAACAUACGAGCAUCAACUUUCUACUAAUCCUUUUCAGAUUGUUACCAAACCUGAUUUGUUGACUGAAUAAUGUUUUACAAUGAUGCUAUGAUUUUCGCAUCUAAGACAAGUACAUGCAUAGCAUGAAUUAAUACAAGCACACCAAAAGCUCACCCUACAGAAAUAAAAGCCUAUCUACAGAUUAAUAAAAAGAUCAUGACUUACCCAUCUAGCGUACUCUAAAAAUGGAAGUGGUUUCAGUCAGUUUCUCAAGAAACCCUAGUCCAAAAACAAAUAAAUAAAAGCAGAGAAAUGGAGAUUUAUUACCUUUUUGGAAAGUUGCAGGGAGUUGAGGGUUGACAAAGUUGCAGAGAAGAACAAGAAAAAUUAGAGAAAAAGAAGAGAAAAUUUUGUGAGGAAACCAAAUCGGAACAUGCGGAUGGAAUGGCUAUUACAGCUUUAGACUUUUAGUUUUAGAAUUUUAUUUUUAUU
rnacentral:lncRNA from 1 species